rnacentral:rRNA from 1 species
GACUACAGGGGUAUCUAAUCCUGUUUGCUCCCCACGCUUUCGUGCAUGAGCGUCAGUGUUAUCCCAGGAGGCUGCCUUCGCCAUCGGUGUUCCUCCACAUAUCUACGCAUUUCACUGCUACACGUGGAAUUCCACCUCCCUCUGACACACUCUAGUCUUGCAGUUCCAAACGCAGUUCCCAGGUUAAGCCCGGGGAUUUCACGUCUGGCUUACAAAACCGCCUGCGCACGCUUUACGCCCAGUAAUUCCGAUUAACGCUCGCACCCUACGUAUUACCGCGGCUGCUGGCACGUAGUUAGCCGGUGCUUCUUCUUCCGGUACCGUCAUCCACUGUCUGUAUUAAAAACAGCGAUUUCUUUCCGGCUGAAAGCGGUUUACAACCCGAAGGCCUUCGUCCCGCACGCGGCAUGGCUGGAUCAGGCUUGCGCCCAUUGUCCAAAAUUCCCCACUGCAGCCCCCCGUAGG